rnacentral:rRNA from 1 species
GAUGAACGCUGGCGGCGUGCCUAAUACAUGCAAGUCGAGCGAACAGACGAGGAGCUUGCUCCUCUGACGUUAGCGGCGGACGGGUGAGUAACACGUGGAUAACCUACCUAUAAGACUGGGAUAACUUCGGGAAACCGGAGCUAAUACCGGAUAAUAUAUUGAACCGCAUGGUUCAAUAGUGAAAGACGGUUUUGCUGUCACUUAUAGAUGGAUCCGCGGCGCAUUAGCUAGUUGGUAAGGUAACGGCUUACCAAGGCAACGAUGCGUAGCCGACCUGAGGGGGGGUAGGCCGCCCCGGAAGGGGACAGGCCACCCUGGCACUGAGGGACGGCCGCGACAGGUAAUGGACGCAAAAGGGGGAAAUCUUGCCGGAGCAACGCCGGGGUGGUGCAGAGACGCCUCGGGAGGGAAAACGGUCUUCUGGGGGAAAAACAAUUUUAGAAGGAAAGAAGCGAGAGUGACGGGACCUUAAUAAGAAGCGCCGGCUAACUACGUG